rnacentral:rRNA from 1 species
GAUGAACGCUGGCGGCGUGCCUAGUACAUGCAAGUCGAGCGAACAGAUAAGGAGCUUGCUCCUUUGACGUUAGCGGCGGACGGGUGAGUAACACGUGGUUAACCUACGUAUAAGACUGGGAUAACUUCGGGAAACCGGUGCUAAUACCGUAUAACAUUUGGAACCGCAUGGUUCUAAAGUGAAAGAUGGUUUUGCUAUCACUUAUAGAUGGACCCGCGCCGUAUUAGCUAGUUGGUAAGGUAACGGCUUACCAAGGCAACGAUACGUAGCCGACCUGAGAGGGUGAUCGGCCACACUGGAACUGAGACACGGUCCAGACUCCUACGGGAGGCAGCAGUAGGGAAUAUUCCGCAAUGGGCGAAAGCCUGACGGAGCAACGCCGCGUGAGUGAUGAAGGGUUUCGGAUCGUAAAACUCUGUUAUUAGGGAAGAACAAAUGUGUAAGUAACUGUGCACGUCUUGACGGUACCUAAUGAGAAAGCCACGGCUAACUACGUG